AUUGAACGCUGGCGGCAGGCCUAACACAUGCAAGUCGAACGGUAACAGGAAGCAGCUUGCUGCUUUGCUGACGAGUGGCGGACGGGUGAGUAAUGUCUGGGAAACUGCCUGAUGGAGGGGGAUAACUACUGGAAACGGUAGCUAAUACCGCAUAACGUCGCACGACCAAAGAGGGGGACCUUAGGGCCCCUUGCCAUCGGAUGUGCCCAGAUGGGAUUAGCUAGUAGGUGGGGUAACGGCUCACCUAGGCGACGAUCCCUAGCUGGUCUGAGAGGAUGACCAGCCACACUGGAACUGAGACACGGUCCAGACUCCUACGGGAGGCAGCAGUGGGGAAUAUUGCACAAUGGGCGCAAGCCUGAUGCAGCCAUGCCGCGUGUAUGAAGAAGGCCUUCGGGUUGUAAAGUACUUUCAGCGGGGAGGAAGGGAGUAAAGUUAAUACCUUUGCUCAUUGACGUUACCCGCAGAAGAAGCACCGGCUAACUCCGUG
rnacentral:rRNA from 1 species